rnacentral:lncRNA from 1 species
AUUUAAUGGAAAAUUCUGCAAUGCUUGUAAAUUAAAUGUUUUAAAAUUAUAAAACGUGUAUAUUAAAUUUGUAUCUAUGGUGCCCUUUUAAUGCUUAAUUUUCUUAUAAAAUAUAAUGAUUAUAUUAUUUUCCAGAAGUUUAAAAAUUACUAUUUAACUUUUUAAAACAUUUUUAUAAUAAUUAAUCUGUUUUAAUAUAUUUAAAUGAAGAAUUCUCCCUAAAACCGAUGUUCUCAAGGUAUACAUAAAAAAACAACAAAAAACAUUCUGAGGUUUUGUAGCGAGACAUGUAUUUUCUAUUGAAGAAAGAAGCAAAAUGCAAUAACUAAAAUAACAGAAUGUAUUUAGAAUGUUGUAAGAUGCAUUAUUGUUUGCUAUGUUUGACUGGCUAAUUAGCAUUUGCUUAAAUUAUUUAAUAUUUUAGUAUUUUUUUGUUUCUAUACAUUCUGUCUGUCUAUUUAUUCUGCUGUUCAUAAAUCUACAUAGCAGAAAACAUUUCUAAACAAAAAUUUAUUGUGAAAAGUUGUAAACAAUUUGCUAUACUAAGUCACUAUUGGCAAACUGUUUCAAUCCAUAAGAUAAGUACUAUUGGAAACAGUAUUGUUCUGCAGCAGCACUGUAGGCAUUAUUUACAACAUAGGGCGAAGUCUAACAAGCCAUAUCAAUUGCAUAUGAGGGAUUUUAAUGCCUAUGUGGAGUCAUGAUAGUGCUAUCUGAAACUUAAAUUAGUGUCACAUAAAUCCCAUCCCAAAUAUUUUUUUUAAAUUUAGGAACAGAAAAUUAAUCUGUGAUUAAAGCCAUACAGAUAAAUAUUCAAUGGCAUAUUAAGAUAUAUAAUGCAAAGGUUGGGAUACUAUUUAAUAUUCAUGUUUCAAGUCCUUGUUGAUUUAUCAGAGCCAGGACAAACUGUAACUCUUGGUAGUUUCAGAACUCUCCAGUGUUAAGGCAGAACAAUAUGUUACAUGCUGCAUGCCAAGGCUGAUGAAUAUGUACAUGUAGCCUGAAUUAGCAGUGUACUUUAGAGAUUACAAAACACUGUAUUUCACAAACAAUGAACAAUAUGGGAGGUUUUGGUGAUGCUCUAAUUACAAAACUCUGUAGGCCAAUGUCCCAUAAUGUAACAACAGUUAUAUAUGAGAUUUGUAAUUGAUUUUGUUGGAAGGACUGAUAACAGUACUUGCAUACAAUGUGAAUUAAAGAAAACAAAUACUGUUCUAGUUGUUUUCUACCAUCUCAGAUUAACAUGAAGAUUUUUGUUGGAUACAGCACAUAACUGAUUCUCUAGAUCACGUAAACAUUUGUAUUAGCCAUAUACCAAUUUGUCAGGAGUAAGUUCAGAUUAUAGUUUCUAAGUAUAUGCUAUCAAGACAGGAGAGGGCAGAGACAGGAUAAAUGUAUUUUUGUCAUAGCAGCUUGUAAUGAUUUUAACAAUUUCUGUAGUAUUUUAUGUGCCUAAUCUAUUGAAUAAAUGACAGGACAAAUCUGCUUAUUUCAUUGUUUAGCACACUUAAGUAUUUUUAGCAUUUUGUAUAGGUACAAGACUGUCAGAAAUUGGUUAUAUGAUUUAUAUAUCAUUAGCAUGUCCUUUAAUUGAAAAUUGAAUUGUAAAUAUGUCUAGUGAAUGAAAUUAGGCAGAAUAUUGCUGUACUUUUCUGAUAGUGACAAACUCGCAUUUUAAGUUGAGACUUUAUUAAACACGAGUCCAAACUGCUCAAAUGGUGACAUAUGGUGUAUCUUUGUGUUUAAAAUUAGUGGCCUAUCUGAGUUAAGCACAUUUCUAACAUCUAUUGAUCCCACAGUUUCCAAUAUAUAUAUAUAUAUAUAGUAUAGCAGCCAUCCAACAAUGCUAAAGAAAUGUGGAGCAAACAUUUAGGAGAAUGCACAGUGACUCUCUGUUAAGGGUACAGUGAAGAAAUUGUGUGUUUAGUUUCUAAAAAAGAAAAACAUAUGUAGGAUACUGUAAAUCACAGAAGUUGGUAAUUUGUAGAAAAGCUUUGAAGAAUCUGUCACUCUAUAACCAUAUCACUUACCAUUAAAGUAAAAGUAACUCAAACAAUGGACUUAUGUUUUAAAGUCUGUGAUACAAUCAUAAAAGUCAGUAAAAAUAAUUUCAACCUUCGAUAAGUAUGUGAUAGUGAAUAUUCCAUUUUAUUCCAGCUUUAUAUGAAAAUUACUUGAAAUGUAGUUUGAAAUGCUGGUGAAAAAUAAACCUUUAUUAAACUGAAAA